GCUUACGGCCACACCGGCCUGAGUACGCCUGUUCUCGUCCGAUCUCGGAAGCUAAGCAGGGUCGGGCCUGGUUAGUACUUGGAUGGGAGACCGCCUGGGAAUACCAGGUGCUGUAAGCU
rnacentral:rRNA from 1 species